AAGGUAUUUAUACAAAGUGCAUUUAAAAAAAUAAAAAAUUAUACACUUCUAUUUUCGCAAUUUGUAUUACAUUUAGCAAAAACUCCUAUGCCAACAAUACAUUGCAGUUUUGACUUCAAGAGCGUAACAGCCUGCAGGUGGCUUCGGUGAUGCCAUGGAGGCGAAACGGACUGCAGUGUUCAGCAACAAGAAGAAGGACUGCCAUGUGUGUGGCCCCAAAAAGGACAGAAAGACAGUAUACGUGCAUCAAGUGCCAGAAUUACAUUUACAACACAGACACAGUAAAACUCUGUCCACCAUGUGGUGUAGUCCAGCCUUCAUUUCUGUUCAAUGGGGCUCAUUUAUCAUUUCCAUAAAAUACUGCAUGUAAAAUAUGUCCUUCCAAUUUGUUCACUUCAAAGCAAUAAACAUCAAUAGUGAUGAAAACCUUUUA